CCGCUGCCAGCCACUUGCGGAAGCCCUAGCGGGGCUCGCACUCCAGAGAAUUUUGUCAGCGUGCCAGCAGGAAGCCUGCUCACCAGCCUCCAUUUGCACGCGGCUGCCGACGUCUGACCCGUGACACGCCCGUGAACUUCUCUACCGUCAGUGGGCACGGCCACAUCUUCAACAGCCACCGAAUUCGCUUCCUUGUCCUUCCCGGAAGUUAUAACCUCCUACUGAACACAGAGCAAGAAAGGGGGCACCUGGCUGAGUGCGCUGGUCACAUGGAGGGAUCCCAGACCUACAGGAACAGUGCCAGGAACCUGAGGAGGCUGGGCCUGCCUAACUUCUGCACACAGCUGUGCUUUCGAUUACUGGCAGAAUGAAUCAUCUUUCUUGUAAGUGAUAGAACUAUUUUAAUAUUUGAUCACAAUCUUUAACCUGGGCCAAGCCCCCCAUUUUUUUUUUUUUUAACCGGCCUGAAACUGUUGAUAAAAUUGGCUUCUCCAGGACAUUUCAGGGUGAUAACUCAAGCAGGGAGGACAGGCUCCUGUCUCCAAGUCCCGAGACAGGGCACAAACUACUCGUAUAUGCUUGCCCCCGCCUCUCAGGAAAUAUUUUCACAAGAACGGUGUGGUACAAAGAGGAAAGACAGACCCCUGGAUGUGGAGGUCAGCCAAAUGAAGUUCAAGUUUGGUUCUUCCCCAUUUCUAGUCGUGUGACCUUGUUUCUUAUUUAGCUUCCCUGAGCCUUGAUUUUCUAAUCCAUAAAAUGGGCACAGUAACACUUCUCUGUUAUGCUCACAGAGUCAUCAUUUUCAGCAUUGGCAAGCGACUAGACCCAAGGGCUGAAGUUGCUAAGUUGGCAACAGCAAGAAGCACCUCGCCGAAAGUGGCUCACUGUCUCCUUGAAGGGUUGCCAGAGCUGGAGAUCCAGGCAGACACUAAACAUGCAGCAAUGAUGGUUCUAAGAAGUGAGCCCACGCCCCUCACGCUUGUCUUGGCAACACGAGUUACAUCGCCACCACAGAAAUAACUACCACUAAAAAUACAGACAGAAGCAAUGAUGCUCUGAAAAUUCUCCUCCGUGUCUCCCCUCGCAGGUGCAAGAGUUUCUUUUGGGGCAGAGACCCAGACAUGGAACUGCUGGUUCAUACUACUCACCUAGGCUUGCCCCCUGCCUCUCAGGAAGUAUUUUCACAAUGAAUGUGAAUAUGGAUAUGUGCACAUAUUCAACCUUUAUAGAUAUUGCCAAGUUGUUCUCUAAAGUGAUUGUGUUGAUUUACAUUUCUCUGAGCACCAUAAUUGACUCCCCUUUGAUCUAUAUCCUCACCUGUACUUGCUACUGACAGGUUUUUAAAUGUUGUCAAUAUGAUGGGUGCAAAAUGGUACCUCAUUGUGGCUUCAGUUUUGCAGUUCUCCGAUUAUUUAGCGGAUUAUGCUCCCAUUUGUUUAUUGCUCAUUUGUAUUCCUUUUCUUUUAACCAAUGGUUCCUAUUUUUCGCCCAUCUAACUAGACUGAUUAUUUUAUAGAAUUGUAGAAUAUACAUACUUAUGUACAUUUAUAUGUAUUUACAUAUCCCUUGUCAGUUAUAUAUGUGGUUCAUACCAUG